CCUACGGGAGGCAGCAGUGGGGAAUAUUGCACAAUGGGAGAAAUCCUGAUGCAGCGACGCCGCGUGGGUGAUGAAGGCCUUCGGGUUGUAAAGCCCUGUCGACUGGGAACGUGUACCAGUAAAGGAAGCACCGGCUAACCCUGUGCCAGCAGCCGCGGUAAUACAGGGGGUGCUAGCGUUGUUCGGAAUCACUGGGCGUAAAGGGCGCGUAGGCGGUUUUGCAAGUCAGAAGUGAAAUCCCGGAGCUUAACUCCGGAAUUGCUUCUGAUACUGCAAGGCUAGAGUGUAUUAGAGGAUGGCGGAAUUCCUAGUGUAGUGGUGAAAUACGUAGAUAUUAGGAAGAACACCUGUGGCGAAGGCGGCCAUCUGGGAACACUGACGCUGAGGCGCGAAAGCGUGGGGAUCAAACAGGAUUAGAUACCCUUGUAGUC
rnacentral:rRNA from 1 species